AAUUGGGUAUCUCACGAGAAGAAGCUACACACAACCUUCUCUUCGCCACGUGCUUUAACACGUGGGGUGGGAUGAAGAUACUAUUCCCGAAUAUGGUUAAACGAAUCGGGCGGGCGGGUCAAAAAGUCCAUAUCAGAUUAGCGGAGGAGAUAAGAUCGGUAAUUAAAUCCAACGGUGGAGAACUCACGAUGGGUUCGAUUGAGAAGAUGGAGUUAACCAAAUCAGUGGUUUACGAAUGUCUCCGGUUCGAACCACCGGUUCCGGCUCAAUACGGUAAAGCGAAGAAAGAUCUGGUUAUCGAAAGCCACGACGCGGCGUUUAAAGUAAAAGCCGGUGAGGUUCUCUACGGUUAUCAACCGUUGGCGACGAGAGAUCCGAAGAUUUUUGAUAAGGCGGAUGAGUUUGUGCCGGAGAGAUUCGUCGGAGAAGAAGGAGAGAAGCUUUUGGGGAAUGUGUUUUGGUCUAACGGAAGAGAGACGGAGACGCCGACGGUGGGGAAUAAGCAAUGCGCCGGUAAGGAUUUUGUUGUUUUGGUGGCGAGGUUGUUCGUGAUUGAGCUUUUCCGGCGAUAUGAUUCGUUUGAUAUUGAAGUUGGUAAGUCGGCGUUAGGUAGCUCCGUUAAUUUCUCGUCGUUAAAGAAAGCUAGCUUUUAGGAGCUUAAGGGUAAAUUUGUAAUUUUCAUGAUGUUCGCACGUGUGUAAUCAAUCAAUUUUUUUUUUUUUGCUCGCUUGUGCCAUGUAUCUAUUUUCUUGUUCUAGUUUCUUAUGGAAUUUGAUAAAAUGUUUUAUAUUUGUCACUACUACUGUUUUUAUAAUGUGAUGUUUUUUUAAGAGGUUUGCUUGGAUAUUUUAUAAACACAGUUUUAUGUCUUUCAGUCAUUGUUUUACUGCAAAUCUGCAAUGGAGUAGUUUCUGUUAGCGUGGGGUUUGGUAGGUACGGUCUCAUACUUGUCAUGUCUACAAUGAAUUAGGCCUAAACGUUCGGAUAUUCAGAUAGGAUUUGGAUCGAAUAUUUUGGAUUCGGGUUUUUCAAAUUUAAAAUUACAAAAUCCAUUCUAAUGUUUUCAAAUUUCAGGUUCGGAUUAAAUUCCGAUCCAACUUUUCGGGUUAGGAUUCAGAUUAUCUAUAGUAUUAAAAAAUCUAAAAUUUUGUGAAGGUAUUAUGCCUAGACUAGAAUUUAUACUCGUUUUGGUUUCCGUGUAUCCGUAGUUAACUCUUACGUUUAUAAGAGCACCUCCAACGCUAACAAUGAAAUAAAAGUCUAUUAAUUACUUUUACCUGAUUAUUUUUAUAAUAUAUCUAUUAUUUAUUUAAAUUUUAAUUAAAUUAAAAAGUAACCAUUAACAUAUUGUUUAGCUACCGCCCCUUAAUGUAGUUAGUUUUUUAUAACCUGUAUUUAUACUAUUCAUUAUUUUUAUUAUUUUUUUCUCUUAAAAAUCAACAUUAAAGGAGGUGGCCUAUGGUUUGUUGUUUUCUUUAUUUUUGUUUGUAGUUCUUUGGUUUUUUCUGCUACUUGUUAUUUUUUUUUUGUAAUCGUGUGUCAUACACGAAUAUAGUAUAGUAUUAACUUAAUAUAGAUACCAAAAAAAAAUGGGAAUGAGAAAUUUUGGAGUUUUGUUUCUCUAUCUCUCUAGUUAAGUGUGUCCUUGUAUUUGUGUGGAGGCAAUGGACUAUAGAUACUUAUAUUAUUCCAAUUACAAAGAAAGACACAUAUACUUUGGAGAUAAUUUGGAUGGGGCCAUAUAGAUUCUAAUCAACACUUCAAGAGAGUCAUCAUAACAAUGUUCCACUAUCAUUUAUUCAUUUUGUAUAUUUUAUCUACCUUCCUCUAGGUUUUUGGAUCUAAAUGUUUACACCGGUUAACGCGGACAAAUCCAUUAGCGGAUAGACCGCUUUUUAUUUACCAUUUAUCAGAUAUAUUUUGUAAUAUUGCGGUCCAAGAAAUCAAAAGAAAGCUGUUGCAGAUCAGCUCUAGACGGCUCUUACAUACAAAUAAAGUUGGCCUACAAAGGUUUGUUGUCCAUCCUAAAAGUCGAAUUAAACCGUUGACAGAUUUGUUCAUCUUGACCACCGUUAACAUUCAAACCCUUUAAUUAUUAGUUGCUAACAUGAUCACCCUCUAAAAUCUAGAUUUAUAUCCAUUGAUUAUCACCAUUGGUCAAAAUAUAACAAAUCUGGCCAAAAUAUUGUGGAUCUAAUGCAAUACAUACUUUGUAGUUACCUAAAGAUCAUCCAAAUGGUUUUGGUUGGAGAUUGUUUAUAUACACUAUUAGUUUUAAAGAUUUGAAUGAAAAUGUUAUUCUAACCUUAUUCUACCAUCUCAUGAUUACUAUUGCUCUACUCAAUUUUAAAGUGAAGAUUUCAUGGACUAGUGGAAAUAAAACUAAUGUUUUGGUGUCACUUCACAGUCUUCACUAACAUAAUGAAGUGAGUAAGAAGAUUAUCAUGAGCUUCACGUAGACUGUAGACAACCUUUUCAUUCGUAUGUCAAGGUAAAGCUUCGAAUGCUCACCCCAUUAUGAAAAUAUUUUUACCUUAAUGCAGAUGAUUUAUACAGAAAAAAAAAAACAAUCACUUAUAUUUUUUUCUUCUUCUUAAUUUAGACAUUUCAUACUAAAUUUUUUGAGAUUUUCACCAAUCAACCAAAAAAAUCAAAUAUCUAACGCCGAGAGUAUCUUAUCUUAUCUUUAUUUAUGAUAAGAGACUAUUGGACUUAUUAAAUAUUAUAGUUUUAAAUAUAUUUUGGGUGUUUUUUUUCCAAAAAAUAAAUAAUAUUAUAUAAAUUUGAUCAAAAAUUAUUUUAGGAGGGGUCAGUUUCAAACAUUUAACAAAAAAAAUCAAAAUAUUUUUUUAAAACAUGCAUGGUUGUCAGUUAUCAUCUAUUGAUAUGGUAUGAUAUGGUUUAUCAUGUAUAACAAAACUCGUCACUUCUUUUUAAAUGGCUUUGUAAGAUUUGUGAACAAAUUAUUAUUUUCUCCAAUGAUCUUAUGGAUGGGUGAUUCUUCAUCUAUUGGUAGGAUACUUUAUAUUUAUUUAAAUGAAGCCUUAAUUAAGAAUAGGCAUCGGCAUAAAAUCCGAAUCCGAAAAUCCGAACCGAACCGAACCGAAAAAAUUGGAUUAAAAUCGAACCGAUAUUGGAAAAAUAACCGAUCAGUUAUUAACUUUCAUUAUUUUUGGAUAUCGGAUUAAACCCGAUCCGAACCGAUAUCCAAUAGAUAUCCAUAUAUAACCGAACUUAUAAUAUAUACUUUAAUAUCUUUAGGAUACAUACAAUAUAUACUUUAAUAUCUUUAGGAUAUAUACGUUUGCCGCAUAUCGAAUUAAAAAUUAUUUUUAAUUGAUUUAGGAUAUCACUGAAUUUUGCUACUUUUUCAUUAGGAAUUUAUGGUUUAGUUUAGUUUAUUUAAAGCUUUUAUGUAUCGACACAGUUUUAUGCUUCACUUUUAUAUAUUGGUAUGGUAUUAUGUUAGUUGGUUCUUUGAACUUGUCAUUUGCCUCAUUUCUAUUUUUAUAUAUACUUGGAUAGUAUGGAUUAUUUGAGUAUAAUUGGAUUUAAAAAUAUCCGAAUAAAACCGAAUCCAAUAAAUUUUGGUAAAAUUUAAUUAUCACAAUUAUAUCCAAACCGAACCGAAAUCCGAAAUAUCCAAACCGAAACCAAACCGAAUUUUAUAAAUAUCCAAUGGAUGUUUGAAUCAAUAUCCAAAAAAUCCGAAAACUGAAAAAUCCGAACCGAACCCGAUCCGAUAUCCAAACGCCCAGGCCUAAUUAAGAUGUUGUUGCAAAAUUGAGAAGGAAGAACAUAGGAAGAGAAGGAACAAGUCAAACAACAAUGGACUACAAUUAAUUUUUAAUGGGCUCAGUAUAUUGGGUUCUUAGUAGGCUUUGUUAACUCUAAAUGUUUACCCGGUGGGUUAAAUACAAAUAAAAUAGAGCUUAAGACACCAAUUCGUACCUGUUCAAAGUGGUUGAGUCUCAGUUAAUCAUGACUCCCACAAGGGUUCGAUCUACUUUGGUACCCAAUUUGGCCUCAUCCGAGCAUCAUGUCUCGAUAAGGUUCUACUAGCCGGAGUAAUGUCUAUGUGCGCUUCUUCUUCCCGUAGUGGAAAGUUACAUCUCCCAGUGAAUCUGGUGCACCAUCUCCCCCAAGGGUCGUACCCCUCGUGGAUGUUUGUCUUCCACCAAUGUGGUUAGACCCAAAUGAACUAUGAAGUAAUCUAAAUUACCUCUUUUAUUUGCUUGUAACUAUUAUGCAAGCCGGCCGUGACAAGAAGAAAGUCCCAUUGAUCUAACCGGUUAAUAUUUCUUAUAUAUAUAAUUUAUGAAAGCUGAAACAUUGACCUCGUCAUUUACACUCCUACGUGCGUUGGUUGAGAAGGUCAUCAACUUCGCCGAUAACGACCCGUGUUGACUUAGGAUUUUAAUAUAUAACCCAACGAGGAUAAAGCACUAAUCAGACUUAGG
rnacentral:lncRNA from 1 species